rnacentral:rRNA from 1 species
AUUGAACGCUGGCGGCAGGCCUAACACAUGCAAGUCGAACGAGUGGCGGACGGGUGAGUAAUGUCUGGGAAACUGCCCGAUGGAGGGGGAUAACUACUGGAAACAGUAGCUAAUACCGCAUACCCUCGGAUGUGCCCAGAUGGGAUUAGCUUGUAGGUGGGGUAACGGCUCACCUCGGCGACGCUCCCUAGCUGGUCUGAGAGGAUGACCAGCCAAACGGGAACUGAGACACGGUCCAGAAUCCUACGGGAGGCAGAAGUGGGGAAUAUUGCACAAUGGGCGCAAGCCUGAUGCAGACAUGCCGCGUGGAUGAAGAAGGCCUUCGGGUUGUAAAGUACUUUCAGCGAGGAGGCGUUACUCGCAGAAGAAGCACCGGCUAACUCAGUGCCAGCAGCCGAGGUAAUUC